GACGAACGCUGGCGGCGUGCCUAAUACAUGCAAGUCGAGCGAGCUGAAUUCAAAGAUCCCUUCGGGGUGAUUUGUUGGACGCUAGCGGCGGAUGGGUGAGUAACACGUGGGCAAUCUGCCCUAAAGACUGGGAUACCACUUGGAAACAGGUGCUAAUACCGGAUAACAACAUGAAUCGCAUGAUUCAAGUUUGAAAGGCGGCGCAAGCUGUCACUUUAGGAUGAGCCCGCGGCGCAUUAGCUAGUUGGUGGGGUAAAGGCCUACCAAGGCAAUGAUGCGUAGCCGAGUUGAGAGACUGAUCGGCCACAUUGGGACUGAGACACGCCCAAACUACCUACGGGAGGCAGCAGUAGGGAAAGUACUUUCCACAAUAGGACGCAAGUACUGAUGGAGCAAACGCCGCGUGAGUGAAGAAGGUUUUCGGUAUCGUAAAGCUCUGUUGUUGGUGAAGAAGGAUAG
rnacentral:rRNA from 1 species